AAAUUGAAGAGUUUGAUCAUGGCUCAGAUUGAACGCUGGCGGCAGGCCUAACACAUGCAAGUCGAACGGUAACAGGAAGCAGCUUGCUGCUUCGCUGACGAGUGGCGGACGGGUGAGUAAUGUCUGGGAAACUGCCUGAUGGAGGGGGAUAACUACUGGAAACGGUAGCUAAUACCGCAUAAUGUCGCAAGACCAAAGAGGGGGACCUUCGGGCCUCUUGCCAUCGGAUGUGCCCAGAUGGGAUUAGCUUGUUGGUGGGGUAACGGCUCACCAAGGCGACGAUCCCUAGCUGGUCUGAGAGGAUGACCAGCCACACUGGAACUGAGACACGGUCCAGACUCCUACGGGAGGCAGCAGUGGGGAAUAUUGCACAAUGGGCGCAAGCCUGAUGCAGCCAUGCCGCGUGUAUGAAGAAGGCCUUCGGGUUGUAAAGUACUUUCAGCGGGGAGGAAGGGAGUAAAGUUAAUACCUUUGCUCAUUGACGUUACCCGCAGAAGAAGCACCGGCUAACUCCGUGCCAGCAGCCGCGGUAAUACGGAGGGUGCAAGCGUUAAUCGGAAUUACUGGGCGUAAAAGCGCACGCAGGCGGUUUGUUAAGUCAGAUGUGAAAAUCCCCGGGCUCAACCUGGGAACUGCAUCUGAUACUGGCAAACUUGAGUCUCGUAGAGGGGUAGAAUUCCGUGUAGCGGUGAAAUGCGUAGAGAUCUGGAGGAAUACCGGUGGCGAAGGCGGCCCCUCGACGAAGACUGACGCUCAGGUGCGAAAGCGUGGGGAGCAAACAGGAUUAGAUACCCCGGUAGUCCACGCCGUAAACGAUGUCGACUUGGAGGUUGUGCCCUUGAGGCGUGGCUUCCGGAGCUAACGCGUUAAGUCGACCGCCCGGGGAGUACGGCCGCAAGGUUAAAACUCAAAUGAAUUGAUCGGGGGCCCGCACAAGCGGUGGAGCAUGUGGUUUAAUUCCGAUGCAACGCGAAGAACCUUACACGGUCUUGACAUCCACGGAAGUUUUCAGAGAUGAAAAAUGUGCCUUCGGGAACCGUGAGACAGGUGCUGCAUGGCUGUCGUCAGCUCGUGUUGUGAAAUGUUGGGUUAAGUCCCGCAACGAGCGCAACCCUUAUCCUUUGUUGCCAGCGGUCCGGCCGGGAACUCAAAGGAGACUGCCAGUGAUAAACUGGAGGAAGGUGGGGAUGACGUCAAGUCAUCAUGGCCCCUUACGACCGGGGCUACACGUGCUACAAUGGCGCAUACAAAGAGAAGCGACCUCGCGAGAGCAAGCGGACCUCAUAAAAGUGCGUCGUAGUCCGGAUUGAGUCUGCAACUCGACUCCAUGAAGUCGGAAUCGCUAGUAAUCGUGGAUCAGAAUGCCACGGUGAAUACGUUCCCGGGCCUUGUACACACCGCCCGUCACACCAUGGGAGUGGGUUGCAAAAGAAGUAGGUAGCUUAACCUUCGGGAGGGCGCUUACCACUUUGUGAUUCAUGACUGGGGUGAAGUCGUAACAAGGUAACCGUAGGGGAACCUGCGGUUGGAUCACCUCCUUACCUUAAAGAAGC
rnacentral:rRNA from 1 species